rnacentral:tRNA from 1 species
GCUCCCGUGGUGUAGCCCGGUCUAGCAUACCGGCCUUUCGAGCCGGUGACCCGGGUUCAAAUCCCGGCGGGAGCACCA